rnacentral:rRNA from 1 species
CCUACGGGAGGCUGCAGUAGGGAAUAUUGGACAAUGGGCGGGAGCCUGAUCCAGCCAUGCCGCGUGCAGGAAGAAGGCCUUCUGGGUUGUAAACUGCUUUUGCCGGGGGAUAAAAAGGCCGUGCGCGGCAGAUUGAAGGUACCCGGUGAAUAAGCCACGGCUAACUACGUGCCAGCAGCCGCGGUAAUACGUAGGUGGCGAGCGUUGUCCGGAUUUAUUGGGUUUAAAGGGUGCGUAGGCGGCCCCGUAAGUCAGUGGUGAAAUACAGCCGCUCAACGGUUGGGGUGCCAUUGAUACUGCGGGGCUUGAGUGCGGUCGAGGGGGGCGGAAUUGACGGUGUAGCGGUGAAAUGCUUAGAUAUCGUCAAGAACACCGAUAGCGGAGGCAGCCCUCCAGGCCGCAACUGACGCUGAGGCACGAAAGUGCGGGGAUCAAACAGGAUUAGAUACCCCAGUAGUC